AUUUUUAACUGGGGUUCUUUUUAACCACAUUUCAAAAGGAGUCACUCCAAUAGGUUUGCAUGGCGUUCUGUUGUUGAGAUAUACAGCUGUAUUGACAGCUUUUUCCCAAUAGGUGUCAGGUAGUCCAGUCUGCAUUAAUAAACAAUAUGCAGUUUCAAGUAUUGUGUGAUUAAAGCAUUCUGCUAGACCAUUUUGAGGAGACCUGGCUUCCUCCAUUGCUGUUUAAACCUUCAUCAGACAGCACCAUGGUACAUGGAGAUAUAAGAAUUUGUUUCUGUCCACCAAGCUAUAGUGCUGUUUGACUGGGUGUGGUACUGGAUGGAGCGCAAAGAGGAAAACAAGGAACUCCCAUUCCAGAGACAGAAAUGCCUUCUUGUUAGCACAGAUUUACCACAGAAUCCAAUCCAUUGUUGCAUGCUGACUUGUCUUCCACACAAUUGGAGCAUGUCAUUUGGAACAACAACAUGACUCUCAUCUUGAUCUUGUGCCAGAAGAACGUGCUUUGCCUGGUUUUAUAAUAAGGCUAUCCCUCUUCAGCAGUCUGUGAAAAAUCUUCACUCUCUUCUCCUGUGAACAAAACACAUCAAUCUUUUUUGUCAUCACUCUUGCAUCACUCAAAAUGAGAUUGAGAGUGAAGGAGGAUCAUUGCAACUAUCACUGGUAGCCUAGAAAAAGCUCAACUGUACACUGGAAACCUCCAGCAUCUUCCUUACACUUGUCCUUCAAGCACUUGAGUGACAUGUCACCCAUCCAAUGAUUUUCUGAUAUAUCCACACUCAUGUGCCCAAGUCUGUUACUGUUAUAAUUGUGUUGACUAGUCAUACAACAUGCCUGUUUUAUGCAGAAGCGUAAC